GGAAGGGUCGCAUAGUGGCCGAGUGCGGUUGCUUGGAGAGCAACUAGGGGUGAAAGCCUCUCGCGAGUUCGAAUCUCGCCCCUUCCG
rnacentral:tRNA from 1 species